rnacentral:rRNA from 1 species
CGGGGUGCAGCAGGCGCGAAAACUUUACAAUGCGGGAAACCGUGAUAAGGGGACACCGAGUGCCAGCAUCAUAUGCUGGCUGUCCAGGUGUGUAAAAUACACCUGUUAGCAAGGGCCGGGCAAGACCGGUGCCAGCCGCCGCGGUAACACCGGCGGCCCGAGUGGUGAUUGUGAUUAUUGGGUCUAAAGGGUCCGUAGCCGGUUUGGUCAGUCCUCCGGGAAAUUUGAUAGCUUAACUAUUAGGCUUUCGGAGGAUACUGCCAGACUUGGAACCGGGAGAGGUAAGAGGUACUACAGGGGUAGGAGUGAAAUCUUGUAAUCCCUGUGGGACCACCUGUGGCGAAGGCGUCUUACCAGAACGGGUUUGACGGUGAGGGACGAAAGCUGGGGGCACGAACCGGAUUAGAUACCCGGGUAGUCCCAGCCGUAAACGAUGCUCGCUAGGUGUCAGGCAUGGCGCGACCGUGUAUGGUGCCGCAGGGAAGCCGUGAAGCGAGCCACCUGGGAAGUACGGCCGCAAGGCUGAAACUUAAAGGAAUUGGCGGGGGAGCACAAGGGCGAAUGC